rnacentral:rRNA from 1 species
GACGAACGCUGGCGGCGUGCUUAACACAUGCAAGUCGAACGAUGAACCGGAGCUUGCUCUGGGGAUUAGUGGCGAACGGGUGAGUAACACGUGGGCAACCUGCCCCAGACGCCGGGAUAACCAUUGGAAACGAUGGCUAAUACCGGAUACGACCACUUCGGGCAUCCGAUGGGGGUGGAAAGGAUUCUGGUCUGGGAUGGGCCCGCGGCCUAUCAGCUUGUUGGUGGGGUAAUGGCCUACCAAGGCGACGACGGGUAGCCGGCCGGAGAGGGCGCCCGGCCACACUGGGACUGAGACACGGCCCAGACUCCUACGGGAGGCAGCAGUGGGGAAUAUUGCGCAAUGGGCGAAAGCCUGACGCAGCGACGCCGCGUGAGGGACGAAGGUCUUCGGAUUGUAAACCUCUUUCAGCAGGGAUGAAGCGAAAGUGACAGUACCUGCAGAAGAAGCACCGGCUAACUACGUGCCAGCAGCCGCGGUAAGAC